rnacentral:rRNA from 1 species
AUGGGAUGCACGGCGUCCACGCGACGUGCGGGGUGGGGCUCGCUCGUGUUCGAUGUCUCAGGGUACGGCGGAGUUAGCCUCGACGUACAAUCAUCAGAAGUAUUCACCGUCGGCGCUUACGACUGGCAGAUUCGUUUCUAUGAGGAAGGAGUGUUUGGGCAUUCCGGAGGCUAUGUGGCGGUCUAUCUCUUUUUAGUCAGCAAGAAGGCCAAGGUGAGGGCAACAUUCGAGCUCAGUUUGGUGGACAUCACUGGAUCAACGCCGCCUCGUACGAUGAGGACGGUCGACGCAGAAUUUGACUCUGGCGACCGAACGUGCUUCGGCCAUCCCGAGUUCAUGAGGAAGAGCGAGCUCGAGGCGUCGCCUUACCUUCGCGGCGAUCGCCUCACAAUUGAGUGUGCCAUCACUAUCUGCAAGGAAGCGCCGGUCUCGUCGAAAUCGUUUGCUGAGGUGCCGCCAUCCGACAUCACGGAUCACCUCAGGAAGCUGUGGCAAGGGAAAGAGGGCAGCGAUGUCACCUUCGAGGUUCAAGGGGAGGCUUUUCCUGCCCACAAGACGGUGCUCGCGAUGCGGUCGCCGGUGUUUAAGGCAGAGCUGUACGGUGCCUUGAGGGAAAAUGAUAUGGGUCGCGUUAUCAUUGGCGACAUGCAACCUGCAGUCUUCGAGGCCCUGCUCCAUUUUAUAUACACCGAUUCAUUGCCCACCAUGGAUGAUCUUUACCAAGAUCAAGAUGAAUACAAAGAGAUUAUUGGACAUUUGCUUGUAGCCGCGGAUCGGUAUGCCAUGGAAAGACUGAAGAUCAUAUGUGAAAGCAUCCUUUGCAAGAACAUAGAUGUGAAGACCGUGGUGACUACACUGGCUUUGGCUGAUCAGCAUCACUGCAACAAGUUGACUGAUGCUUGCAUUGAAUUUAUUGCCUCUUUGGGUAAAGUGGAUGAUAUAAUAGCAAGCCAGGGAUAUGCUGAGCUCAAAAGAACCUGUCCUUUGGCUUUACUGGAACUGUGGGAGAAGGCAACUAGGCUCUACAUGAUAUAG